GAUGAACGCUGGCGGCGUGCUUAACACAUGCAAGUCGAACGGAAACGCCCCUUUGGGGGUCCUCGAGUGGGGGACGGGCGGGUAACACGUGAGUAACCUGCUCUUGACUUCGGGAUAACUUCAGGAAACUGGGGGUAAUACUAGCUCGGAAUCCCUGCUGCAUGGAGGGGGUUGGAAAGCUUCGGCGGUUUUGGAUGGACUCGCGGCGUAUCAGCUUGUUGGUGGGGUAGUGGGUUACCAAGGCGUUGACGGGAAGCCGGGCUGAGAGGGGGACCGGCCACACUGGGACUGAGAGACGGCCCAGGCGCCGACGGGAGGAAGCAGGGGGGAAGAUUGCACAAUGGGCGGAAGCCGGAUGCAGCAACGCCGCGUGCGGGAUGACGGCCUUCGGGUUGUAAACCGCUUUCGGCAGGGGCGAGGCUUGUGGUGACGGUACCUGCAGAAGAAGCACCGGCUAACUACGUG
rnacentral:rRNA from 1 species